UUUGUUUACGUCGGCAAAUAUUAUUCUUUUGUAUUAAAAUUCGACGAAUUUUAGUACAAAAGAAGUAUCGGUGAAUAUUUUGUGGAUCUUUCUCGUUUAUUGUAUUUUGCCCGAUUCCUACUUCGUUAAUCUGCUAUCGUUGACAUCCCGCGGUGUUAAAUGUUUCGAUAUUAAUUCCUUUCACGUCAUUAUAUACGAAUUAAAAUAAAAAUUCAAAAUAACAGGAAGAGGCUUUAAGCGGGGAAAAUUAUAUCAGAUUUAUACAAAGUACUGUACAUCGACUACAAACGAUAAAAUAAUUUCAGAUAAAUAUUCGAAAUUUUAAAGUAUUAAAAGAAUAUGAAAAUAUUUGUCCCGUUUACCGUCGUGUUUUGUCUGCUUCAUUGUUUUAUCGAACCGGGUCUCGGAUUUAUGCAGUUAUUCUGCCUCUUCUGUCCCGUUUCAUCGGAACCCAUCGACGUACCUCUGUAUUGUUGUUUAUAUUGCGUAAUAUGCGAUUUCAAUGUGGCUCGCCGGACAAAAUCCUACGUUCGGUAAGUUACGACUACCGAAGAAGCCGCCUAUUUAUAGGGAAAAUCCGUUAGCGCUUUACCAGGGUAUCGUUAUUUGAGAGUGCGCUAUAUCGAGCCAAACUGAUUUAGUAACAGUAGUCGCAGGGUGAUAUAUAUGUGGAUGGUGUGGAUCGUCUACUUAAAUUGUUUUAAUCAAUUUUGGAAUUAUGAGAGAUGAAAUACAUAUUUUGAAGUAUUAUUUAAGCUAUUUAAAAUACGGGAAUACUCCGGUUAUUGAGGUUGAAUUCCAGUGAAUAAUCGUAUUCCUUCGAUCGAAUUCGCCGUAAUCGGGUAAUCGGAGAAUGUUUUUAAUAAGAAGAAAUGACUGUUCGAAAACGGAAUUUCCUAACUUGAAAAUAAUUAGAACCGUCUUAAUUAUGGGUGAUAAAAAUCCUUAAAAAUCUACAAGAAGCUAAAAUAAAAACACGCCGUUAGAUCUGAAUUUUUAUUACAUUAUUUGAAACUUUAUUUUAAAAUGUUUCCAUCAAGAUUAUGUUCUUAAUGCUUGUAUUGUAUGCUUUUCUAAAGGAAUUGUUGUAUUGUCUGUGCAGGGGUAUUUCGUGUAUACGGCAUUGGCUUCUUCGUACUGAUUAAUAAAAAGUAAAAU